AUGUAUAUUUGAAAGCAUUACCAUGUAUAAUGUGCAAAUGUUGACACGCACUUGAAUGAUUGUACGUACUGAUCGACCUUAUCCAACGAGAACCAUAUCAAAAGAUGCACGUUUUGUAUUCCGUUUGAAUCGGCUUUGUUUCGCUGCUUAAUUGCUAUUCUUAUUCUGAUGACGGUGCAAUAUCGAAAUAUAUCAAUUUAGUUUUAAUUAUAUCAAUUUGCAACAUAUAACAUGAGCAUAAGGUUAUUCACUCUAUUUACAUUAUUAAUCAUGCUCAGAAAUACCAUAGCUUACCUCCAAGAAAUUCAAUCUUUAUCUAACCAUCCGCUUUAUCGUCAAAUUGUCCAGAUGAUGCGUAUGUAAUGACUGAAUAAGUAAAACAAUACAUCGAGAUUAAAAAAGAUAACAAGGCCCAAGAAAAUUGGUGUGCUGGUGGGUCUGGCAGCGAACAUUGCAGAACCGGGACGAACUGGCCUGUCUGUUCACUUGCCCGAACAGAAUCAUGAACAGAUGAUGAUAGUAAAGCUGCGUACAAACAACAGCGGCGUGCUAACGCUGUCAAAAUCAGCGCUAGCAGCGUGCUCGGAACAGCCAACACUCAUAAUGCCUCAGUAAGGUAGGUACUAACAAGCAACAGCAAUCGCCCACAGCUGUGCCGAAAGCUGACUUCAGACGGGACACAACGGACGAAACUCAGACGAAAGACGAGGGACGGCAGACGAUCGGGACGAGCUCACUGCUCGGGACUGCUGUCCUUGAUGGCCUGGAUCAGCUCAGCGGAGCCGUACUGGCAUGCGUGGAAGGUCUCGGCGCACACCUCCACAGAUCCGGCGCGGCUUCCCAGGUCGGCAGCCGCGUCAUACGCCAGCUUCGGCGAGUCGGGACGGCCCGAGCUGGGUACGUUCGAGCUGCAGAGAGAGAAAAUAAUCGUCAGCGGGCGCUUCUGGUUGUUUGCCAGACUGGAGGGCAGGUUUAGUAUGUAAGCAGCAGAAGAGGCGUGGUGGAAUUUAUUGCUUUCUUUUA